rnacentral:rRNA from 1 species
AGAAUGAACGUUGGCGGCGUGGAUUAGGCAUGCAAGUCGUACGGGCCGCAAGGCCAGUGGCGCAAGGGUGAGUAAGGCGACGGCAACCAACCCCGCGAUUGGGUAUAGCCGCGGGAAACCGCGGGUAAUCCCCAGCGACGUCCGUGGAGGGCAUCCUCUGCGGACCAAAGCUCAGGCGUCGCGGGACGGGCCGUCGUGGUAUUAGCUUGUUGGCGGGGUAACGGCCCACCAAGGCGUUGAUGCCUACCGGGCGUGCGAGCGUGGCCCGGCACACUGGGACUGAGACACUGCCCAGACUCCUACGGGAGGCUGCAGUCGAGAAUCUUCGGCAAUGGGCGCAAGCCUGACCGAGCGACGCCGCGUGGAGGACGAAGGCCUUCGGGUUGUAAACUCCUGUCGAGGGGGAAGAAGGGGUGUUAAAACCCUUGACUGAUCCCUGGAGGAAGCACGGGCUAAGUUCGUGCCAGCAGCCGC